GGCGCGGCGCUCGGUAAUUUACGAGGAUUUUUGCUUUGUUUACGCGUGUUACUGUUGUUGUUGCUGUGUCGGUGUGAGGUUAGUUUUUGUGUGGGACAGUGUGACGAGUAUUGUUUGACUGAUUUGAGUGAUGGGAAGACGAUCGAAGAUGGUGUGCACGGCGAAUGGACCCGGACGAGUUGCAUCAUUGCUGUACCUAUCUCAGGAAUUUCGUAUGUGUACAUAUCCGAGGCACUGAAUGAUACACGUGUAGCCCAUGUUAUUGCAAUGAAUGAAAAAGAUUUAUUAGAAAACAUCCAAAGUCUAACUAACUGGCAAGUUGGUGCGAUUCUCCUUGCCGAUGAAGCGACCGAUGGGGUAGAGUCCUGGACCUUUGGGCGCUUGGUUGUCCAGCGCUAUCAAAGUGUAAUUGCCUUCUGGAUCUCCGUUCUCGUCCAUGUACACCAUGUACCUGUGGUCAACAGACAGGCGAAGGGCAAACUGUUAGAGACGCCAUCAGUCGUCACGGUAACAGCGGACAACUUCCGAUUGACUGUACGACUUUGCUAGCUUUCAGUUCUCUCUCUCUCUC